rnacentral:lncRNA from 1 species
GUUCCUAAACUGUUGGGACCUAAACUCCCAAAAUCAAUACCAACCUUCCUUUUGUAGUCAUUAACAUUGUGUUUAAAUUUCAUUGAUUUCUAUUUACUUAAACUAAAGUUAUUGUGCGAAAACCAAGAAUAAUGCUUAUUUGGGCCCUUUUUUGUCCCCUAAUUCCUAAACUGUUGAAACCAAAACUCCCAAAAUCAAUCCCAACCGUUCUUUUGUGGUCAUAAACCUUGUGUCAAAAUUUCAUAGAUUUCUAUUAACUUAAACUAAAGUUAUACUGCGAAAACCAAGAAAAUGCUUAUUUGGGCCCUUUUUGGCCCCUAAUUCCUAAAAUGUUGGGACCAAAACUCCCAAAAUCAAUACCAACCUUCCUUUU